AGGGAGAAGGAUGCUAUAAGGAUGCAGUAAGGUGUGACUUACAUGGCCAACACUGUUAUAUAUGAGGUUAUCCAAACCUACGAGCAAAUCCAAGAAAAGUUGCUAAAGCUGCAAGUGGCUGUUAUUACAGAUCUGCUUUCCUCUGUGCCUGCCUGAACACCAGCUCUCUCUCCUGACAAGUUUUUUUUUAUUUCUAAAAGGAAAAGAACAAAAGAGGAGCAAAGGCCAUGUCUGACCUGGGAAGAACAAUGUGUUUCUCUUAAAACAUUUGUGAAGGGGAGGGCAGCACUGUCCUUCUGGUAGAAGACUGCCAGUGUUGCUUGGCUUGGAAGGAACCUCAGAAGCUCCCUAACCCAAUCCGUGGCUCCAAGUAAGCUCAACUGUGAGUUCUGAGUGGGUUAGCCAGAGCUUGACCCUCUUUGACCUUGAGAAGGGAUGGACACCAUGCCAUUUCUCUAGGGGACUUAUUUCACUGUUCGGCUAUCUUCAUGAUGGAAAGAAAAGGUUUUCCUACUGUUGAGUCAGAACCUCUUCUGCCUUAAGACCAUCUCUUGACUUGAUGUGAUAAAAAGAGAUACAGAGCAGGUCAAGAGAUUAUUGGGAAUUAUUUCAAAAUGAUGAAAUAUGUUUUUAGGCAUUUUAUUCAGUCACUUUACUUCAUAGGUGCUGGCUGUUGCUGGAUGCCCUCCCUACUUCAAGCUCAUCUCUUCUCUACACUAAACUGAUGUUCUCCCAUUGUCUCCAAACAGGGCAUUUGCUCUGGCCUCUUGACUAUCUCUGUGGCCUGUUCUUGCAACUAUGUUGGCUGCUGGAGAUGGAUUUUUUUUUCCCUGAUUGAACCUGCUGGAGAGGAAAAACCUACAACUCUGUUUGUAAUGAGAUUUAUUCUCUAUGUGAGCUUCUGUGAGAAUGCAACUGUGCAAUUCUGUGUCUCCCUAGGUGUUUAACUUCUCAGCUAUGCUGU
rnacentral:lncRNA from 7 species